AUUCUUCUUUCAGCAAUUAUAUAUUUAAAUGAUUGUGGCCAAAAUAAAAGAUUUGAUCAGUUUACUGGCCGCUGUGUUUAACCAAUGCAGCAGGUUUUCGCUUUCUUUUUUGUUUUUUUUUUAUUUUUUAAUGAUAAAAAACUGAAUCUCAGUGGAUCGUGAAAUUUUUCGCUCGAAGCCUGGCGGACAUUGAAAUCUGUGCCAUCUUCGGCGUCCGUAUUCGUAGCCACCUUCAACUCAAGCUUGUAGAUGCCAUCAAAGAAGCUGGAAAUUAAAUAUCAUGCUCGCGUUGUACUGCAGAUCUGCUCUUGAAAUCAUACUUUUCUGUAGAAUUUAUUCGAAGUAGCCAAUAUGGAAGAAGAUAUGUGGUUCAAUGUCCCUUCAACACAAACCAAUUCACAUUCAAGAUCGGCAAUAUUCUUAAAUUCACGAUGCACUAGUCAGAUAUGAAGAAAGUAAAGAAUGAAACUUGUGGAAGGGUACUGAGUACAGAAGAUACAUCUAUAAAAAAAAAAAUUGAUUUGUAAAAAAGUACAUGUGGGCUUGAUCCCACUUUAGAAUUAGUUUUGGGCUACUUAGACAGCAUGUGACGAAAAUAAUCUCAUGUUCAGCCCCUUAUUAGUUUAACUAGUGUCUGAUGUCUCAAGCAAUUUUUUAUAAAUUUAUUAGAACGAUUAAAAUUCUAUGACAAUAUAUAUGUGAUGAGUAGUAAAACUCAAGUAUUUUUCAUUGAGUCAA